rnacentral:rRNA from 1 species
GAUGAACGCUGGCGGCGUGCCUAAUACAUGCAAGUCGAGCGAACAGACGAGGAGCUUGCUCCUCUGACGUUAGCGGCGGACGGGUGAGUAACACGUGGAUAACCUACCUAUAAGACUGGGAUAACUUCGGGAAGCCGGAGCUAAUACCGGAUAAUAUAUUGAACCGCAUGGUUCAAUAGUGAAAGACGGUUUUGCUGUCACUUAUAGAUGGAUCCGCGCCGCAUUAGCUAGUUGGUAAGGUAACGGCUUACCAAGGCGACGAUGCGUAGCCGACCUGAGAGGGUGAUCGGCCACACUGGAACUGAGACACGGUCCAGACUCCUACGGGAGGCAGCAGUAGGGAAUCUUCCGCAAUGGGCGAAAGCCUGACGGAGCAACGCCGCGUGAGUGAUGAAGGUCUUCGGAUCGUAAAACUCUGUUAUUAGGGAAGAACAAAUGUGUAAGUAACUAUGCACGUCUUGACGGUACCUAAUCAGAAAGCCACGGCUAACUACGUG